rnacentral:lncRNA from 1 species
AGCUUUCUGAGAAGAGAAAUCUCUCAGAUCUCAUCAUGAAUGUUGGUGCCGGCGGCGGUGGUGCUGCCGUAGCCGUAGCUGCCCCCACUGGUGGUGCCGCCGCUGGUGGUGGUGCUGCAGCUGCUCCUGCCGCUGAGGAAAAGAAGGUACGCGAAAUAAGUGUUUUCCUUUUUGAAAUUUGUUUAACUCGGAGUUGCUUACUUAUUAUUGUUUGUUGAAUGUGUGCAGGAGGAGCCAAAGGAAGAAAGUGAUGAUGAUAUGGGAUUCAGUUUGUUCGAUUAGAAGCUGUUUUCAGUAUGAUCUUGUCUGUUUCCAAAAAAAAAUUUGGCUAAGUUUUAGUAUUUGAUGUUUGAGAUAUUCAGAGAAGUGUAAGAGUACAUGUAAUUUUGAGGUUAAUGACUCCUGUUUUGCUAGUUUGUGCCUUAUUUUGAGCCAUUUUUGUCGUUUUGAAAUCAAAUGUUUGUUCUUCUUUUGCUAGUUUUUAUUCUCUGUUUC